AUUGAACGCUGGCGGCAGGCCUAACACAUGCAAGUCGAGCGGAGCGGCGGACGGGUGAGUAAUACCUAGGAAUCUGCAUGGUAGUGGGGGAUAACGUUCGGAAACGGACGCUAAUACCGCAUACUAUCAGAUGAGCCUAGGUCGGAUUAGCUAGUUGGUGGGGUAAUGGCUCACCAAGGCUACGAUCCGUAACUGGUCUGAGAGGAUGAUCACUCACACGGGAAUGGGGCAACGGUCCAGAUUCCUACGGGGGGAGGCAGUGGGGAAUGUUGGACAAUGGGCGAAAGCCGGAUCCAGCCAUGCGGCGUGGGGAAAGAAGGUCUUCGGAUUGUAAAGCACUUUAAGUGGGGAGGCGUUACCGACAGAAUAAGCACCGGCUAACUCUGUGCCAGCAGCCGCGGUAAUU
rnacentral:rRNA from 1 species